CUGGAGGCUAGGUCGGACGGGUAGCGGACGUCUGUUGCCAUCAAUCCGCUUCAGAUGGGAUCGAAGCCUGAGGGCGCUGUAAGAGGUAAAAAGAGCCCGGAACCAGAGCGUCGAAGCUCAGUCCUGGGGGAUCAUGUUUAUGGCGAACCGCGCGAGGCCGGGAACGGUGCAGCGCUAAACUAUGGAUGUGGUGCUCUCAGGGUCGCUGAGUGGAGCAAUGGAGCCGGACAAACUUUUUUUGUCUCAUGCAGUCACCGAUGGCGCGCCUCCGC
rnacentral:SRP_RNA from 1 species